rnacentral:rRNA from 1 species
AAUGGACGAAAGUCUGACCGAGCAACGCCGCGUGAGUGAAGAAGGUUUUCGGAUCGUAAAGCUCUGUUGUAAGAGAAGAACGGGUGUGAGAGUGGAAAGUUCACACUGUGACGGUAUCUUACCAGAAAGGGACGGCUAACUACGUGCCAGCAGCCGCGGUAAUACGUAGGUCCCGAGCGUUGUCCGGAUUUAUUGGGNGUAAAGCGAGCGCAGGCGGUUAGAUAAGUCUGAAGUUAAAGGCUGUGGCUUAACCAUAGUACGCUUUGGAAACUGUUUAACUUGAGUGCAGAAGGGGAGAGUGGAAUUCCAUGUGUAGCGGUGAAAUGCGUAGAUAUAUGGAGGAACACCGGUGGCGAAAGCGGCUCUCUGGUCUGUAACUGACGCUGAGGCUCGAAAGCGUGGGGAGCGAA